GAUGAACGCUAGCGGCAGGCUUAAUACAUGCAAGUCGAGGGGCAGCAUGAUUGUAGCAAUACAAUUGAUGGCGACCGGCAAACGGGUGCGGAACACGUACACAACCUCCCAAUAAGUGGGGAAUAGCCCAGAGAAAUUUGGAUUAAUACCCCGUAACAUAACGAUGUGGCAUCACAUUGUUAUUAUAGAUUUUUCGCUUAUUGAUGGGUGUGCGGCUGAUUAGAUAGUUGGCGGGGUAACGGCCCACCAAGUCUACGAUCAGUAGCUGAUGUGAGAGGAUGAUCAGCCACACGGGCACUUAGACACGGGCCCGACUCCUACGGGAGGCAGCAGUAAGGAAUAUUGGACAAUGGACGCAAGUCUGAUCCAGCCAUGCCGCGUGAAGGAUUAAGGUCCUCUGGAUUGUAAACUUCUUUUAUAAGGGACGAAAAAAGGCUUUUCUAAGUCGUCUGACGGUACCUUAUGAAUAAGCACCGGCUAACUCCGUGCCAGCCGCCGCCGUAAGAC
rnacentral:rRNA from 1 species